UGCGGUGAAUACGUUCCCGGACCUUGUACACACCGCCCGUCAAGCCAUGGAAGCUGGGUGUACCUAAAGUCGGUAACCGUAAGGAGCCGCCUAGGGUAAAACUAGUAACUGGGGCU
rnacentral:rRNA from 1 species